UUUUCUUUUCAACCAGUUUUGCUUUUCCCUACCUUUCUGGUCCUCGUGCUACUGCAAGGUGUUGGGAGUGUGGAUUUUAGUCAGCAGGAGGCGCCUUUUUGGACUACACCUCCUUUGGAGCUCUCUCUAAGGACACUGGGAAGUGUGGACAGACCUGCCAGUUCCUCUUUACCUAAUGAUGUUGGGACAACCUCGGCAUUCUCUACUCCGUGAGGAGCUACAAAAAUAGAGCUGGACCCACUGGGCAGAUUGAGGCUGCCACAGUCAUUCAGAUGGCCCAGACUGGAACUGCUGAUCUCAGCCUUGGGGUUG